UGUAACACGUCAUGCAAUUCCCCCGCACGUAUUAUAUUGCAUGUGACAAAUAACAAAACCGCUAUUAUAAACUCGCGGAAAAUAGCGCGAAAUGAUCAUUUGUUACUGACGAGAGAUAAAUUGCUCUUGUCGACGCGGCACUGGAAAUUUUCAAUUUGCACUGGUAUUUGUAUAAUUUCCUAGCGCUGGUACUUUGUGUGGUGUAAUUAAAAUUACUUUACAACGUGUAAACAGAGGAAGUAUGCGGUCAUUUUAGUAAUUUCAUGAAAUUGUUCUUUCCCACAGAACAUAAAUAGUAGUGUGGUAUUGUUCAGAUUGUGGCACGUCUGAAGGGUUCUUAAGCAAAAAUCAAUGAAAGUUAUAGAGCAGUUUAGUUAGAUUAUCAUUUUAGAUGGCAGAGUUAUCAACUAAACAAAUCAAACAUCAAAAUUGAUCAUCAAAAAUAAUAACAGCAAUUAUUUCUAUACAAUAUUGAAUAUCAUGGAAUAUCAAGAUCAAAAUACAAUGACAUUGAUGAGAAUUAAAUUGAUGGUUCGGAAAUCACGAUAGCAAUCUUAAUUGUACAGUUCAACCAAAAAUUUGGACAUUUCAAAGCGAUCACAGAUCAAAAAGGUCUUGUUUUAUACAAGCAAGUAAAAUUAAAACUACAAGUCAAAUUAAACGUAACAAUGAAGUUGAUAGGUAUAAAGUUAGUUUUAGUGCUACUAUUGGUCCUGAUGACGUCAUACGUUCUUUGUGAAGACGCUACUACUACACCAGCGACCACGGCUCAGGAAGAAGAAGAGGAAGAAAUGCCUCAGAAGAGAAGUUGCUCAAUUUGGUGCUGGAUCCAGAAGAUAGCCAUGUUUGUCAUCUCGCAAUUGCUAAGUAGCUAGAAGAUCGUGAAGGGAAUCAUUUUGAUUAAAUGGUGGGUUCUGAAA